AAGCCACGCCCGAAAAAACCGCCACAGGCCAAUCGUGGCUUAGCAACCGUAACUAGGCGUGGGAGGUCUGGCAAGCUUUCGAGCGAGGGUAACAUGCCGAAGCGUUGUGCAAAUCUGAUACCCGGUAUCCUAAAAGUUUGGAUGGGGUGGUGGAAUUUUUUCCCUUCCCGAAACCUAAAACCCAAGGGGAGAAAUGCCGGGGGUGGAUCAAGCAGUGUGGGAGGCCCCAUUCACAACUAAAUGUCGACAGGAUUAACAAAAACACCUACGUUUGCUCCAAGCAUUUUGUUAAUCGACGGCCUACCCCUGAGUACCCCAAUCCGAUCGCGGCUCUCCCGGGGUUAGUUCUAAGGAGGGAACAUCAGGGGGCUUGCCGGAGAUCUCCAAGGAAAAGGAAGCCAGCACCUCAAACUCCACUGAGGACACAUUUCACAGUACAUCACAACAGAGUGACUCUACCUAUGGU